CCCUGUCACUCUUUGCCUGUAUAAAACAUCUCUUCAUUCUUUAUAAUCCUUCUUUAGGUACUAGAAGGUGCUGUAAAGUCUCCUGAAGUCUUCUCUUCUCCAGGCUGAGCAACCCCAGCUCCCUGAGCCUGGAGAGGUGCUCCAGGCCCUUGGUCAUCUUCAUGGCCUUCAUCUGGACCGCCUCCAACAGGUCCACAUCAUUCUUAUGCUGAGGACCCCAGAGCUGGAUGCAGCACUCCAGAAUCACAGAAUCAUUUAGGUUGGAAAAGACCAAGAUCAGUGAGUCCAACCUUUGACCUGUCACCAACUUGUCGAGUGGACCACAGUGCUAAAUGCCAUGUCCAAUUGUUUCUUGAACACUUCCAGGGACGGUGGCUCCACCUUCAUGGAGGAUUUCUUCCUGCCUGGUGUUCAUCCUGAACCUCCCCUGGCACAGUUUGAGACUGUGUCAUCUUGUCCUGCCGCUCAGCAGAGGCUGACUCCCACUUCGCUACAGCCUCCUUUCGGGGAGCUGGACAGAGCCAUAAGGUCUCCCCUGAGCCUCCUUUUCUCCAGGCUAAACAAUCUCAGCUCUCCCACUUGCUCCUCAUAGAUCCUUCACCAGCUUCAUUGCCCUUCUCUGGACAUGCCCCAGCACCUCAGUGUCUUCCUGGAAGCAAGAGGCCCAGUAGUGGGCACAGCAAUGCUUCAGGUUCCAGAUGGAAGUUCAAACUGGUGUUUGCUUUCUAACUGGUGUUAAUACUUUGGCUUGACAUAUGUUUGCCUGGUUUCUGAAAUUUUUUUUCAGUUAAAGACUGACCUAUAGUGCUAAGUUCAGAACUAGGACCUGCAAUGUAGUUUGCCAAAAUAAGAGCUGGAAAUGACACGUGUCAGUUUUUGUCCAUACAUCCUUUUAUUUAUCAAUAAUAUGUAUAUAUUGACAUUGAAAUAUUUUACACACAAACAAACAUAUACAAACAUGCAUAUACAUUUAGGAGGCAUGACAAUGUACACUUUGUAGCCAACUGUAACCAUUAUUGCAGAGACCUGAUUUAGUCCAGGUCUGAAACAGUUUUCUUCUCUGCUAGCAGGAAGAUUCUCACAUUCUCUUGUAAAAUACUAAAAUUUGCUAUCACUUUGACCCCUCCUGUGGUGCCUGGUGAAAUCUGACAGCAAUCAAUUGUUGUUAGCUAUUGGCCAGUUUUUAAACUGUAGCAGUGGUGUAAGAUGCCUCAGGGCAUACUUUGAUCUCAUGUGCUUUAGCAAAAAUGGAACAUGAGGCAGUACGAACAAUAAAGAUAUCCCCUUCAACUUGCUAAAGAUUUUAAAUUUGGAACAAAGCUUCAGACUAAAUGUUUCUCAUUACCAUUGCCAAUACAAAGCUAAUGUUGAAGACAAUGGUUAAAACAUUAAUCAUGUAGAGAGUGGAGGAAAUGUCCUAGCUGAACUGAGUAAGCGGAGGCAUUCUGGAGAGCGUUUGCUCCAGGAGUUAGUCACCCUUCCACAGUCACAGAGCUGGCUCCCACUAACACAGAGAUAGUUGGCUGUGGGGUUCACUAUUUUUAGUAGGAAUACAUAAAGAUGACUAACACUGCAUCAUGCCUUGGAGUGAACACGUAGCAUUUGUCAGAAAUACAUGUUCAACAGAGUUUAAGAAAUACCAUGAGUGACUGUAUCUAUGUCUAAUGAAUUUCUCAUAGAGAGGAAGUGAUUGAGCACACAAGGCAACUUCUCCAUACAAAGAAAUAAUGAAUUUUGUGAGCACAGAGGAAGAAAUGCAUCUUUCUUAAAAUGCUCAUCAAGGAAAAGAAAGUAAUGGAAUAAGCCAGAAAGUUCAUCACAUUCCAAAUUGUCCUGCUGUCUAUCAUGAUGCUUGUGAAGUCCAGUGGAAAUGGGUAUACAUAUGAGAUCAACCAAAUCUCUGUGGGGAGGACAGGAUAUGAGAACUGUGCACUUUGUUUUAAGUAUUUGACAGAUGUAAAACAUGUAAGGCUGUAAGAUGAGGUGCUGAAGGAGAUGCCAAAUACAUUUUUGCGUGCUAUUAUAUUUUUUUAUCACAUAGAAGAAAUAUGAUUGUGGCAACAAUCAGUAGAUGCAUAAAACUGGAAAAAGGAAGAGAAAACAAGUAUAGAUAGCAAGGAAGCCCCAUAAUUGUUCUUCCUCCAUGUAUACACACCAUACAUCUUUUCAACAGUCAACAGGGGUGUUGAAGUUCAGCUUCUAGUGCGCAAAGAAGUGUAGCAAGUACUGAGUCCACUUGCAUAAAUAUCAGAAUUUAGCACAGUAAAGCACUCAGCCAACUUGUAGGACAACUUAAAGAGAAAAAAGAGAGGAAUAAAAGGAGUGAGCUAAUUCAGAGUAAGGAGACUGUCAAGCAAAUGACAAAUGACAAUUUUGUAUGUAAAUCAGCUGCAGAUUUCUUUCUAUUGCUGCAGUGUGUUCACUUAUUUCUUUUAUUAUUUUAGGAGGAAUAUUUAAUCACCAACAAGUACUAUCUACAUAAAUGAGCUUGUCCUCCACACCCUGGCAUACUACACUGUGGGUAGUGCAGUACAUGAGAAUCCAUGGUGACAUGACAACCUUUGCAUCUUCUGUCUUGGCAGGCUUGCUUGAAACUAACUUUUGAAAUAACAAAACAUAAUCAACAGAAAAUAAAGACUUGCAGAUACACAAGAGCUAUAUGUAGCUUCCAUACAGUGAGGGCUCUGGUUAGAAACUGAAGCUGGUUAAGUAACAUUUGUUGAAAGGUCUGGACAGAAAUUCUGCCUCAGGUUUUAUCCCAUGCAAUUCAGUGACUUUUGUACCCUAGUAGAUACUAGAGAGAAUAUAGCCUGUAAAAUCCACAGUACAAUCCUGUAAAUUUUGAUGUUUUCCAUUUACUGUGAAGGGUCCUGAAAAGAUCCUAAAUAUUAAUUUUCUUUUUUUCCCCCCAGAAAUAGCAUCAGCUGUCCUCUCUAUAAGCAAGAGUAUAGUUAUUCAUAUUAAAUCAAGGAUACUCCUGUUUGAAAUUACAUAAACAUGCCAUCUUCAGAAACAAAAAAAGAUGAGAUAUUGAUUGUCACAGAUGUGUAUGGAUAAUAGAGAUCUUUUCAUUAGAAUCAUGGAAUUGUUAUGGUUGGACAAGACCUCUAAGUUCAUCAAGUCCAACUUAAACUAACACUGCUGUAUUCACCAAUAAACCACAUCCCCAAGUGCCACAUCUACAUACCUUUUGAACACUUCCAGGGAUGGUGAUCCCUCUGUCUCGUUACGACCUCUAGAAUCAUAAAUUAUGGCUGGAAAAGACCUCUAAGAUCAUCAAGUCCAACUGGUAAGCCAGCACUGCCUUGUUCACCACUAAACCACAUCCCAAAAUGCCACAUUUGGGGCCUUGAGAGCCACAUAGAAAGCACAGGAUAGUUCAUUGUGGAGGUGAAACUACUCUGUGUGUUACAGACCAUGUGAGGAACAGCAGACAGCCAAUGAAAUGUCACUGUAGGCUUUCCAGCUGGCUGACAUGGCUCCACUGGAAAAGUAAAGGGAAGAGAUAUAUUUUACAGUUGUUUCAUCUUUGCAGCUGGCUAUGUCACAGCUACUGCACAUAAGGUGGGGCCUAGGAGACCAGACAUGCCGUCUUCCCACACAAGAGAAGGAUGACCAAACACACCAGAAACUGAAAAUAGAGCUCAGGCACUGAGUCACUCAUUUGUGACAUUCUCUGCUAUGAUAUGGGAAGAAACUUCAGCAUAUUCCUUUCCUGAAUGUUCAGCUGUGGAGCUAAUUUCAAAUGAAGCCACACACAUAUCCGACACACCCAAACCCAUAUUUCAUUAUGAGGGGUGUCCUAUGUUUGAGACCCAAAUUAGCAUCAGUCAUGUAAGGGCACGGUGUCCUCAUUUCAGUUAUAGUAAAUUACUGCAUGAGAAACACUGAAUCAUAAAGUUCAGAUUUAAAGCUUUAUAGUCAAUUGUUAUUCCCUUACCCUCUUUGUCUGUAUAUUCAUUUUAGGAUUUUGACUAUGUGAUCAGGCUUUAUUGCAAAAGCACCCUAAGCCUUAUUGGGAAUAACUCUUUCCUUUAUAGAAUUUAAAUCAGUAAAUAAUAUAUUUUUUAAGCAACCUUCUGUAAAGGCCUUGUACCAGAAAAUGUUUUUUUAAUACUUUGUAAUCAGUACGAAGUCAUAGCAUAUGAACUCACUUUUCAAUUAUCAAAGAAAGUUUUACAAAUACCAAGAAAGCAAAAAAUCUUGUAAAGAACCAUUCUAGGGCACAGUAAUCUACUUUUGAAUAAAAAUAAAUCUAUUGAA